GGGAGGCACCACCUUGAAGAGGGCAGAGAACCAGCCCUUCUCAGGCCUUGAUCCCUUACCCUUUUCUCCCAGGAACAUUCCUCGUCAAGGACUGUGACCAGCACAGAAAGGCUGCUCAGUGUGAUCCUUGCAUACCAGGGGUCUCCUUCUCUCCCGACCACCACACCCGGCCUCACUGUGAGAGCUGUCGGCACUGUAACUCCGGUCUUCUCGUUCGCAACUGCACCAUCACUGCCAAUGCUGAGUGUGCCUGUCGCAAUGGCUGGCGGUGCAGGGACAAGGAGUGCACCGAGUGUGAUCCUCUUCCAAACCCUUCGCUGACUGCUCGACCGUCUCAGGCCCUGAGCCCACACCCUCAGCCCACUCACUUACCUUAUGUCAGUGAGAUGCUGGAGGCCAGGACAGCUGGGCACAUGCAGACUCUGGCUGACUUCAGGCAGCUGCCUGCCCAGACUCUCUCUACCCACUGGCCACCCCAAAGAUCCCUGUGCAGCUCAGAUUUUAUUCGCAUCCUUGUGAUCUUCUCCGGAAUGUUCCUUGUUUUCACCCUGGCCGGAGCUCUGUUCCUCCAUCAACGAAGGAAAUACAGAUCAAACAAAGGAGAACGUCCUGUGGAGCCUGCAGAGCCUUGUCGUUACAGCUGCCCCAGGGAGGAGGAGGGCAGCACCAUCCCCAUCCAGGAGGAUUACCGAAAACCGGAGCCUGCCUCCUCCCCCUGAGCCCGCACCUGCGGGAGCUGCACUACAGCCCUGGCCUCCACCCCACCCCGCCGACCAUCUAAGGGAGAGUGAGACCUGGCAGCCACAACUGCAGUCCCAUCCUCUUGUCAGGGCCCUUUCCUGUGUACACGUGACAGAGUGCCUUUUUGAGACCGGCAGGGACGAGGACAAAUACGGAUGAGGUGGAGAGUGGGAAGCAGGAGCCCAGCCAGCUGCGCCUGCGCUGCAGGAGGGAGGGGACUCUGGUUGUAAAACACACUUCCUGCUGCGAAAGACCCACGUGCUACAAGACGGGCAAAAUAAAGCGACAGAUGACCACCCUGCA
rnacentral:sRNA from 1 species